rnacentral:rRNA from 1 species
AUUGAACGCUGGCGGCAGGCCUAACACAUGCAAGUCGAGCGGAUGAGGGGAGCUUGCUCCUUGAUUCAGCGGCGGACGGGUGAGUAAUGCCUAGGAAUCUGCCUGGUAGUGGGGGAUAACGUUCCGAAAGGAACGCUAAUACCGCAUACGUCCUACGGGAGAAAGCAGGGGACCUUCGGGCCUUGCGCUAUCAGAUGAGCCUAGGUCGGAUUAGCUAGUUGGUGAGGUAAUGGCUCACCAAGGCGACGAUCCGUAACUGGUCUGAGAGGAUGAUCAGGCACACUGGAACUGAGACACGGUCCAGACUCCUACGGGAGGCAGCAGUGGGGAAUAUUGGACAAUGGGCGAAAGCCUGAUCCAGCCAUGCCGCGUGUGUGAAGAAGGUCUUCGGAUUGUAAAGCACUUUAAGUUGGGAGGAAGGGCAGUGAGUUAAUACCUUGCUGUUUUGACGUUACCAACAGAAUAAGCACCGGCUAACUUCGUGCCAGCAGCCGCCGCGGUAA